rnacentral:rRNA from 1 species
UAGGGAAUCUUCCGCAAUGGACGCAAGUCUGACGGAGCAACGCCGCGUGAGUGAAGAAGGAUUUCGGUUCGUAAAACUCUGUUGUUAGAGAAGAACAGCGCAUAGAGUAACUGUUAUGCGUGUGACGGUAUCUAACCAGAAAGCCACGGCUAACUACGUGCCAGCAGCCGCGGUAAUACGUAGGUGGCAAGCGUUGUCCGGAUUUAUUGGGCGUAAAGCGAGCGCAGGCGGUCAAUUAAGUCUGAUGUGAAAGCCCCCGGCUCAACCGGGGAGGGUCAUUGGAAACUGGUUGACUUGAGUGCAGAAGAGGAGAGUGGAAUUCCAUGUGUAGCGGUGAAAUGCGCAGAGAUAUGGAGGAACACCAGUGGCGAAGGCGACUUUCUGGUCUGUAACUGACGCUGAUGUGCGAAAGCGUGGGAAUCAAACAGG